UGCAAGUCGAACGGCAGCGCGGGAGCAAUCCUGGCGGCGAGUGGCGAACGGGUGAGUAAUGUAUCGGAACGUAUCCUGUAAUGGGGGAUAACCAGUCGAAAGAUUGGGUAAUACCGCAUACGCACGAGAGUGGAAAGUGGAGGAUCGCAAGACUUCACGUUAUAGGAGCGGCCGAUAUCUGAUUAGCUAGUUGGUGGGGUAAAGGCCUACCAAGGCGACGAUCAGUAGCAGGUCUGAGAGGAUGAUCUGCCACACUGGGACUGAGACACGGCCCAAACUCCUACGGGAGGCAGCAGUGGGGAAUUUUGGACAAUGGGCGAAAGCCUGAUCCAGCCAUGCCGCGUGCAGGAAGAAGGCCUUCGGGUUGUAAACUGCUUUAGUUCGGGAAAAAGGGAUGCUUGGUUAAUACCCAGGUGUUUUGAUGGUACCGGAAGAAUAAGCACCGGCUAACUACGUGCCAGCAGCCGCGGUAAUACGUAGGGUGCGAGCGUUAAUCGGAAUUACUGGGCGUAAAGCGUGCGCAGGCGGUCUUGUAAGACAGUCGUGAAAUCCCUGGGCUUAACCUAGGAACUGCGAUUGUGACUGCAAGGCUAGAGUGUGUCAGAGGGGGGUGGAAUUCCACGUGUAGCAGUGAAAUGCGUAGAGAUGUGGAGGAACACC
rnacentral:rRNA from 1 species